ensembl:lncRNA
CCAUGGCCGCUUUAAGGACCCCCGGUAUUGUCGGGUCCCACUGUAACUCCUCUUAAAAGGGCAACACCGCUCCCGUUGGUUCCGGCAGUGGAGCCCGGGAGGGGUUGGGGGUCCCGGGAGGGGUUUGGGGGUACCUGGGUGAUGCCGAUGAAGGCGAUGGGGUCCCCAUGCUGGGUAUAAACCUUUGUGAGCGUUUCCUGGGGGGUUUUCGGAAGUUCUGGGUGUUUUUGGGGCCAUGGUGGUUUUUUGGAAGUUCCCAAGGGGGUUUACAGGGGUCCUGAUGGGGGAAUUUCCCGGGAGUGGAAUUUGGGAUCUCAAGGCUGUUUUGGGGAACCUGCUGGUGAUGGAGAUGGGGACCCCAUGCCAGGUAUGAACCUUCUCAAUGUAUGGGGUUUUGCGGUUUUGGGGAGUUUUUGGAGCAUCCAGGGAUGUGUUUGGGAUCAGGGGAGGUUGGGGUGUCCCGGGGGGUUUGGGGGUUCUCGGCAGGUUUGGGGGUACCUGGGCAAUGCGGGUGGCAGUGCUGGGGACCCCGUGCCGGGUUUGAACCUUCUCACUGCGCACGGGCAGCGUCAGCGUGUUCAGGGAGAUCCUGGGGGGCCCGGGGGGUCACCCCAAAUCCCAGGGACCCCAAAUGCUGAGGGACCCCCCGAACUGCCCUCACCGCUGGAUCUGCUGCAGGCAGGGGGGCACCAGCACUCGGCCCCCACCCUCCACCAUCACAGGGGGGCUGUGGAAGAAAUCUGGGGGUGCAGGGACAGGUCGGGUGGGACCCCCAAAGUCCUGGGGGAGAGGACACGGGGGGACUCCCAGGAAUUCCCAUUAUGGGGGAUGAGGAGGGACCCAGGAAGAGUUUGGGGGCCUGGGUGGGUCAUGGGGGGACCCCCAGGAGUCUUGUGGGGGGUGGGGAGGGCAAAGAACAGGGCGACCCCCAGGAUGGGUUUGGGGGGGAACCGGAUUGGAGCUCCCAUGGCAGUGGGAUGGGGAGAUCUGCCCAUGGAAUUCCAUGGGAAUGGCAUGGCAGUGAGAUCCAUCUACAGAAUUCCCAUGGGAAUGGGACAGCAGUGGGAUCCAUCCAUGGAGAUCUCACGGGAAUGGGAUGUCUGAGAUCCAUCCAUGGAAUUUCCAUGGGAAUUCCCACGUUCCCAAAUUUUGCCCUCCCAAAUCCCACAUUCCCAUUCCCAUAUUCCCAUGGGAAUUCUGCCCUCCCCACCUUUACACUCCAGCGCCUCCCGCCCAUAUCUGACAUAUUUCCGGAGACAUUCCCUGCAGCUGUGAGCCAGGGAAUUUGUUAAUCCCUCAGCCUGGAUCUCAGGGAUCCCCAUGGCGGUGCCACAGUUGCCAUCGCAGCCCCACAGAUCCCCCAGCCCCGGCUCCCCCCGCUCAGCCCCGCUCUGGCUGUGCCGCUGCUGCAGCAUCUGCAGCUCCCCGCUGGCCCCGUGCCGGUGCCGCUCCUUGUGCCGGCCCUGGCUAUCCCAAUAUCCCAGCCCUGGCUAUCCCAAUAUCCCAGCCCUGGCUAUCCCAAUAUCCCAGCCCUGGCUAUCCCAAUAUCCCAGCCCUGGCUAUUCCAAUAUCCCAGCUUUGGCUAUCCCAAUAUCCCAGCCCUGGCUAUCCCAAUAUCCCAGCCCUGUCUUUCACAAUAUCCCAGCUCUGGCUAUCCCGAUAUCCCAGCUCUGGCUAUCCCAAUAUCCCAGCCCUGGCUAUCCCAAUAUCCCAGCCCUGGCUAUCCCAAGAUCCCGGCUCGGCUCCGCCCGGCCCCGCUCGCUGCGGCGGCGCUGGAAGNNNNNNNNNNNNNNNNNNNNAAUCCCUCAAAAUUCCACAAAAAUCCCACAAAAUACCACAGAAAUCCUACCAAAUUCCUGAAACAUCCCACAAAAUUCUAGAAACAUGCCACAAAAUUCCCUAAAUUUUCUCAAAAGCCUAACAAAUUCCAGAAACAUCCCACAAAAUUCUUCAAGUCUCCACAAAAUCCCAAAAAAUUGCAGAAAAAUCCCAGAAAAUUGUGGAAAUCUUCUCAAAAGCUCAACAAAUUCCAGAAACAUCCCACAAAAUCCCCACAAAUGUCCACAAAAACCUAAGAAAAUACCUCAAAAUUCUUCAUGUCUCC